rnacentral:rRNA from 1 species
UACGGAGGAUGCAAGCGUUAUCCGGAAUGAUUGGGCGUAAAGCGUCCGCAGGUGGCAAUGUAAGUCUGCUGUUAAAGAGUCUAGCUCAACUAGAUACAAGCAGUGGAAACUACAUAGCUAGAGUACGUUCGGGGCAGAGGGAAUUUCCGGUGGAGCGGUGAAAUGCGUAGAGAUCGGAAAGAACACCAACGGCGAAAGCACUCUGCUGGGCCGACACUGACACUGAGAGACGAAAGCUAGGGGAGCGAAUGGG